AGUGAACGCUGGCGGUAGGCCUAACACAUGCAAGUCGAACGGCAGCACAGUAAGAGCUUGUUCUUACGGGUGGCGAGUGGCGGACGGGCGAGGAAUACAUCGGAAUCUACUUUUUCGUGGGGGAUAACGUAGGGAAACUUACCCUAAUAUCGCACACGACCUAAGGGUGAAAGCAGGGGAUCUUCGGACAUUGCGCGAUUGAAUGCGCUGGAGUCGGAUUAGCGAGUUGGUGGGGUAAAGGCCCACCAAGGCGACGAGCGGUAGCUGGCCUGAGGGGGUGAGCGGCCAAAAUGGGAGUGAGACAAGGCCCAGACUCCUACGGGAGGCAGCAGUAGGGAAUAGUCGGCAAUGGACGAAAGUCUGACCGAGCAAAGCAGCGUGAGUGAAGAAGGGUUUCGGAGCGUAAAGCGCUGUUGUAAGAGAAGAACGGGGGUGAGAGUGGAAAGUUCACAAUGUGACGGUAUCUUACCAGAAAGGGACGGCUAACUACGUG
rnacentral:rRNA from 1 species